rnacentral:rRNA from 1 species
AUGAACGCUGGCGGCGUGGAUAAGGCAUGCAAGUCGAACGGCCCGCAAGGGCAGUGGCGAACGAGGUAGUAACACGUAGGAACGUACCCUUUAGUCAGGAAUAGCUAGUCGAAAGAUUGGCUAACACCUGAUAGCCUCUUCGGAGUAAAGAUUUAUCGCUAAAGGAACGGCCUGCGGAGUAUCAGCUAGUUGGUAGUGUAAUGGACUACCAAGGCUAUGACGCUUAGGGGAGCUGAGAGGCUGACCCCCACCGAUGGGACUGAGACACGGCCCAUACACCUACGGGUGGCCGCAGUCGAGAAUCUUCCGCAAUGGACGAAAGUCUGACGGAGCGACGCCGCGUGAUUGAUGAAGUUCUUAGGAAUGUAAAGAUCUUUUAUGUGGGAGAAAUUUUUGAUAGUACCACAUGAAUAAGGGGUUGCUAAACUCGU